GACUUACUCCUGAUCCCUCGGAGGAGUCGCACUGAGGGAGAGGACGGGCGCCGAUGCACAGCGCGCCAGCAUCAUUUGUGUGUGUGCGUGCGCGCCUGUGUGUGUGCGCGCGCGCGUCCACGGGCAAGAGAGAGAAAAAAUAGAACGCCGCCCCCAUUACACAUCUCUGGCCAUCAGUGCUGCUAUUUCUGCCCGUGCCAGUCGCACCAGGAUGGCUGUUUGGAGGAAAAGGCUUUGAAGAAUUGUCCAGGUCAACAGAGCCAGUGGAGGAAGAUGUCAACCCAGGCCACGAUUGAUCUGGUACAAAAGCUCCAUGAUUUGCAUCAUUGAUUUGACUUUGGUUUUUCCUUGGAUGCCCUUCCUGACACAACCUUCUGCAUUUACCUGGAUAUGGGACAGGGCCAUGAAAGCAAUGGAUUAUGCCUCCUUGUGUUUGCACUUUUUAUAAUAAAAACCAUAGAUCCAGAUUUUUUUGAAAUGGUCUUAUUAAAAAAAUAUUUGUGUACAAAUUCACAAAUUAUUGCAAACAUCAGAUGUCUCCCAGUUCUCCAAUUUCUGCA